CAUACAUACAUACAAAACUUUAUUUAGACCACGCUAGCCUCAACACCCGUUGGAAGGCUGGUUUCCAUGAGGGGCGUGAAAUUACCUAUUUACAAAAAGUUAACUAUAUACAUGAAAUACAAAAUAUAACAAAAUAAAUAAAUACAAUUGAUUUUAGCUGCACGAUUAUACACAAGCAAAUUUCAACUCAUUCUUUGUUUCAAUAUCGACUUGAAAGAGUUUAGGGAUUCAGCAAUUUUUGCCUCAUGGGGAAGAUUAUUCCAAUGCAAGGCACCAUUAUGACUGAAGCACCUCUUGCCGAAUUCUUUUUUCGGCAUAGGUGGUGCUAAAUCAGUAUCCGAAUUUCUAAGAUUGUAACUAUUAUGUCUUUCAUUAUUAAAAUGAAAUGCUUCUUUAAGAUUGGGUGCGGUGUGGCCAUUCAGAACUUUAUAGAUGAAAAUAGAUUUAAGAUAAUUUCGUCUUUCUUCUAGAGGUUUCC